rnacentral:rRNA from 1 species
GCUGACUCUCACGGGUACAGGGAUUGGGUUCGAUUCUGGAGAGGAAACUGAGAACGGCUACUACAUCUAAGGAAGGCAGCAGGCGCGUAAUUACCCAAUCCUGUCUCAGGGCCACGUGGUGACAAGAUAUAAUAACCCUAUUAACGUAGUGAUUAUAGUGAGGAUACUCCAAACAGAAUCACAAGAACGAUUAGAGGGCAAGUCUGGUGCCAGCAGCCGCGGUAAUUCCAGCUCUAAUAGCGUAUAUUAAAGUUGCUGCAGUUAAAAAGCUCGUAGUUGGAUUUCAAGGAUUACAUAUUCCUAUGGAAUGUGUACCCUACUAGCCCCCCACGCUGUUACUGUGAGAAAAUUAGAGUGUUUAAAGCAGGCUCAUGCAAGAAUACAUUAGCAUGGAAUAACGAAUGAGUCUAGAAUCUCGUUUAUUCUAGAUCUCGAUUAUAAAGACAGCGGGGCGAGAGGAGGCGAGGAAAUCCUGGAUGUAAGACUAUCUAUGCUUAUUGCAUUUGCAAGAUGUUUCAUUAUCAGACGAACAUACGCCCUCAACGACAUCAAAUCUGUCGUAGUCCUAUCUAUAACUAUGCCGACUAGGAUGAAUGGAACUUACCAUUCAGUACCUUAUGAAAUCAAGCUUCGGGUCCGGGGGGAGUGUCGCAUACUGAACCUCACGUACUCGACGAAGUACCCACGGAUGGACUGGGCUAAUGACUCAACGGAACUACAAGUCGAAUAGAAGAUGACAAUGUAGCUUUCUGA